rnacentral:piRNA from 2 species
UGCUAUGUCAACUGGUAAACGAUGGCUCUC